CUGGCUGCGAGCCUGCCCAGUAUAUGGCCUGGAGGGCCUGUUUGGCUUCCAGCUCUCAGAACCAUGUCUGCAAUGCUCAUUGUAAACUAAAUCAGGACAGGACCCAGAAAUCAGGACUCUCCUACCCAGACUGGGCCAGCUGGGGGGGGGGGAGGGGUUGUCAGCACUGAUUAUGGUGUUUGGAGCCUAUAACAACGUUACAUUUCAAUUUACAAUUCA